AGGCAUGUGAUCAAUCAGGCUGAGACAUCUGUUACUGCAUUGAUUGACUUGGAUGAUCAGGCUUGUGAAAUAGGUGGCCCCAUCCUACUUUGCUGCCCCCAAGUACAUCUGUCUCAAAGCUUACACUGCUGGAAGGGGAUGACCAUCCCUAUUAGAGGACAGUCAUUCUCUGGUCAGGAGUAGAGAAAUA
rnacentral:snRNA from 2 species